AGCCUGCAACUCGGCUGCAUGAAGCUGGAAUCGCUAGUAAUCGCGGAUCAGAACGCCGCGGUGAAUACGUUCCCGGGUCUUGUACACACCGCCCGUCACACCAUGGGAGCCGGAAACGCCCGAAGCCAGCGGCCCAACCGCAAGGGGGGAGCUGUCGAAGGCGGGGCCGGUGACCGGGGUGAAGUCGUAACAAGGUAGC
rnacentral:rRNA from 1 species